rnacentral:rRNA from 1 species
UACGGAGGGAGCUAGCGUUGUUCGGAAUUACUGGGCGUAAAGCGCGCGUAGGCGGCUUUGUAAGUUAGAGGUGAAAGCCCGGAGCUCAACUCCGGAACUGCCUUUAAAACUGCAUCGCUUGAAUCCAGGAGAGGUGAGUGGAAUUCCGAGUGUAGAGGUGAAAUUCGUAGAUAUUCGGAAGGAACACCAGUGGCGAAGGCGGCUGACUGGUCCGGUUCUGACGCUGAAGGCGCGGAAAGCGUGGGGAGCAAACAGG